AUUGAACGCUGGCGGCAUGCCUUACACAUGCAAGUCGAACGGCAGCACGGGUGCUUGCACCUGGUGGCGAGUGGCGAACGGGUGAGUAAUACAUCGGAACAUGUCCUGUAGUGGGGGAUAGCCCGGCGAAAGCCGGAUUAAUACCGCAUACGAUCUACGGAUGAAAGCGGGGGACCUUCGGGCCUCGCGCUAUAGGGUUGGCCGAUGGCUGAUUAGCUAGUUGGUGGGGUAAAGGCCUACCAAGGCGACGAUCAGUAGCUGGUCUGAGAGGACGACCAGCCACACUGGGACUGAGACACGGCCCAGACUCCUACGGGAGGCAGCAGUGGGGAAUUUUGGACAAAGGGCGAAAGCCUGAUCCAGCAAUGCCGCGUGCGUGAAGAAGGCCUUCGGGUUGUAAAGCACUUUUGUCCGGAAAGAAAUCCUUGGCCCUAAUACGGUCGGGGGAUGACGGUACCGGAAGAAUAAGCACCGGCUAACUACGUG
rnacentral:rRNA from 1 species